CGGAAAGGUUACAAUGGUUAUGUUUCUACUUAUUAGAGCUAUCUGAGCCCGUGCUUUAUAAUGUAGAUGAUUAUGAGUUGUGAUACUCUUCAAAGAUAAGCUUCACUUCGUUUGAAAUAUUCUUUGCGUCACUUCAAUAUUGCUUUAUCGGAUUUAAAUAAUUGAAACUUCCUGAAAUUAAAUAGACACCUUG